rnacentral:tRNA from 1 species
AUUUGAAUAGUUUAAAAAAAUAGUAAUUUGUGAUAUUAAAGAUGUAGAUUUUACUUCAAAUA